GAGGGCACCGAAAUAGGAGGGCAGACAAUCCAAGUCCAUUCCAUAAUCCUUUGCCAUCUUCCCUCUGUCUGUGCCCACAAUCAAAUACACUACCUCUCUCUCUCCUCUCCUUCUUCUCUCUCUCUCUGUGGGUCUCUCCUCACAUCCAAGGAAGAUGCAAGAACAGUCAGUAGAGCUUCCAACACAGACUAUUCCUCACUGUGAACCAUCAAAGCAUUCUGAUCUGCAAUUUGACCGCCUGCAACCAUCGGAUGAAGAUUUAGAUGAAGAAAAAGUUGGAAUUUGGACGGUUGUUUAAUCUGAUUGGGUUUUUUUUGUUUCAGGAAAAUUGGUGUGCGAAUUCGAGGGUUUUUGUGUACAACCUUGCAAACCCCUUCUGAUUAAGGUGGCGGGGUUUGCUUGGUUUUGUGCUCUGGUCUCAGAAAUUGAAUAGUUUUUUUUUUUUGGUGGUUUCGUGCUAUCUUCAACUCCAAGUGUAAAGUCCAGGGAGCAAAAAUUGGGCAAUCACAAUUAUUAUUGUUGCCGUUCUGAAGAAUAACUUGGGUGCUGCUAGGUCAAUUAGCUUUUCAUCAGAUGGUCAGUUCAUGGUGGUCACGAAACCUGCAGAUUUUGUGCAUAUAUAUAGCACAAAGGCAGAUUACAAAGUGCGGCAAGAGAUUGAUUUCUUUGGGGAGAUAUCAAUGAGUCCCGAUGACAAGUCUCUAUAUAUAGAAAUCUGGGACCGAACCA